rnacentral:lncRNA from 1 species
CUAUAUGUUGUAAAUUGUUCACAUGUUUAUAACUGGAUUAACUGUAAAAGUUAGAGAGAAAAAAACAGAAUCAGAUAAAACAAAUGAUGUCUACAAAACAACAGUUUGCGUCGGUUAUGAGACAUAUUGAUAAACUUGAUACAGUUAUAAUUCAUCAGAAACGUGAGUACUUGAUAUAUUUAUAUAUAUUACUUCUUCAUACCAUUUAUUCUAUUGAGAAAUUAUGCAGGUAUAGUUUACACGAGUUUGAAAUCUAAAUUUCUCAAGCUAAAUAUACCAAAAAAACAAUUGUUACCGGCGGGAUAUUACCCGCAACUUUAAUGUUUACUAUUGAGAUUACUGGAAAAUGGUUAUAAAUAAGCUAUUGCACAAGGAAGAACAUUUGAUUGCAUAUACUCUUCACAUAUCUUUGGGGCUAUUUAUUAACCUAAUUGAUUCCGACCCCUUUUUUAAGUAUUUGCCCUUAAAUGAAGAUUUUCACAAAAAAAAAUCUAUUUACCUUAAAUGGUAAAAAUCAUAACAGAUAAUUAAAUCACUAAAUAAUAAACAAGACAAGAUCAACUAACAAGUAAAUUUUUGUCGAUAUAGUUAGUACGCUAUAUACUGUUCUUCAUAGGAGUGAUGUGUGGUUUUUUUCCCCAUUGUGGUUGACGUAAAAACUUAUGAAGAGAGAUAGAGGCUAAAAGGAUUUUAAUUAUCCUCAAUACAACAUUAUAAAAACAGAGAAUUUUGAGUUGUAUUCCUAUCUACAAUAUCAGAGAGGGUCAUCUAUUGAAUAUGUAAUUAGGCAAUUGUGAUUGACACGUGCUCUAUAAAGCCUCUAUUUGAUUUUAUCUUUGAGUUCGGAAUUUUUUUCUUUUUUGACUGAAAAUUAGUAAGCAGCUUGUUAGUGAUCGGUUGUCAAUUAUUGUAAUGUGUUGAAAAUUUUAAAUGACAACGGGUUAAUUCUUGUUUUAUAAUGCCCUUUUUGCCAACGAGAGAAAUUUUAAUAUAUUUCGCCUCUAUCUUUAAGAAGGGACGGAAGAUAUCAGAGGGAGAGUCAAACUCAAAGAAUCAGGAUAAGAAAAUUUGUUAUCAUUUCGUUUGAUGUAUUUGAGCUUUUGAGUUUGCAAUUUGCUUAAUGACUUUCCAUUAAGACAUUUCCUCAAAGGUUUUUUUUGUUGGACUUUUUCCUUAAUAAUGUCGACUAUUGGAAUGUGUACAUGUACAAUGUAUGAUUUUAUGAAAGAGAUCACCGCAUAUAAAUUCUGUUUAACGUAAAUGUAUGUAUCUAAUUGAAAUGUAGCGCAAUCCGUAUUACAUAAUCAAAUUAUAAGUAAAUUUACGUACUCGCCUUUUUAUGCUCUGUUGACGCCACCAAAAAAUAACAAAAUGAACGGUUUUGGAAAAUUCGAUUUUGAUUAAAUUGUGAGGUAAGCAAAAGCAAUAUGUUUAAUAUUUUUAAUAUAUAUUCCAAGAUUAUAGACGUAAAAAGUGGAAAUAAAAUAGCAGUUAUCAAACAACGCGAGAUUGUUUCAGACAUGUUGUCGUUUAAA